rnacentral:rRNA from 1 species
AACGAACGCUGGCGGCAUGCCUAACACAUGCAAGUCGAACGAGACCUUCGUGUCUAGUGGCUCACAGGUGCGGAACGCGUGGGAAGCUGGCCUUAUGCUCGGGAUAAUACAUUGAAAUUUGGGCUAAUAUCGGGUAACUUAUGCUGACAAAAGAUUCGUCCCCCUUGUGUGGGCCGGCGUAGGUUUGACUUGGUGGGAGGGUAAGGGCCUACCAAGGCGUCGAUCCUUAGCUGGUAUGAGAGGAUGAUCAGCCACACUGGGACUGAGACACGGGCCAGACUCCUACGCGAGGCAGCAGUGGGGAAUAUUGCACAAUCGGCGAAAGGCUGAUCCAGCAAUGCCGCGUGAGUGAUGAAGGCCUUAGGGUUGUAAAGCUCUUUUACCAGGGAUGAUAAUGACAGUACCUGGAGAAUAAGCUCCGGCUAACUCCGUG